rnacentral:misc_RNA from 1 species
UUUCCGUAGGUGAACCUGCGGAAGGAUCAUUAACACGAAUUAUUUAUUAUCCAAUAUCAAAAACCAAACGUGAACUUUUCCCCUCCCUAUAUAUAUAUGUAUAUAUAUAUAUAGGCUAACCUCAUAUAAUUUUUAACACUUUAAACUUCAACUAGUUUUAAUGUAACCAUUAAAACAUCUAAACUAAAAAAGACAAGGUUAUUCGAAAGAGUAAACUUUAACUUUUUUCGAUCUACGAAAAAUUUAAAAGAACAACUCUUAACAAUGGAUAUCUUGGUUCUC